rnacentral:rRNA from 1 species
AUUGAACGCUGGCGGCAUGCCUUACACAUGCAAGUCGAACGGCAGCGGACCUUCGGGUGCCGGCGAGUGGCGAACGGGUGAGUAAUAUAUCGGAACGUACCUUUCAGUGGGGGAUAACGUAGCGAAAGUUACGCUAAUACCGCAUAUUCUGUGAGCAGGAAAGCAGGGGAUCGCAAGACCUUGCGCUGAUUGAGCGGCCGAUAUCAGAUUAGCUAGUUGGUGAGGUAAAGGCUUACCAAGGCGACGAUCUGUAGCGGGUCUGAGAGGAUGAUCCGCCACACUGGAACUGAGACACGGUCCAGACUCCUACGGGAGGCAGCAGUGGGGAAUUUUGGACAAUGGGCGCAAGCCUGAUCCAGCCAUGCCGCGUGAGUGAAGAAGGCCUUCGGUUGUAAGACGUCUUUCGGUCCGGGAACGGAAAGUACGAC